CAGUGAUAAUGUUCAUACGGGGGUCUGUGUGAUUGGCUUGGGAUAUUGGAAUGGUCAAAUAAAUCAUACCUGAUGGAUGGCCACACGUUUACUGAAGGGCCUCCAGUAGACAUGAAGAGCCCUGAGCGACGCUCCGGAGCGAUAUCCAAAACACUGGGCAGGAAGGAGAGUAUCCAAAUCAAGUGUAAAAGGAUGCAAGCGGCGUGUUCAGAUCAGUGACUUCCAACUAGGAUUACACCAAUCAGGAUCAAUGGAGGAUGGACACCAAAAGGAAUUCCACAAGGAGUCUGACGUUGGAAAGGGACCUCAAUGGAUAUUCAAGAUGACCUUUAGACCUUUAAUGAGACGGCUCUUCCUACCUACCUGGCUGGAUUGAUCGAGAGGCCUGUGGAUAUUGUCUUGCUCUCAGUGCUGGAGGAGCCGUGCUGAAGGAGCUGAUGGAGGAGUUGUGCUGAAGGCCCUGCCCGGUGGAGGAGCUGAUUGAGGCCCUGCCUGGUGAAGGACGUCUGUCGUGGGACCAGGACUCUGUCUGAGGAGAGCUGCUGGAGGAGCUGAGACGCUGGAGGACGACUCGGAAUCGACCGACAAGGAUUCCUCUAGAACGUGUUUCUGGAGUGGAGGCGAGCUGGUAGGGGAGCCGUGAAUCUGGAGGAUGACCAUCACUCUACCAACAAGGAUUACCAGGACUCUGGCUGAGGAGAGCUGAUGGAAGAGCCAAGACUCUGGAGGAUGACAUCACUCUACCAACCAGGAUCCUCAGACAAAUUACGUUUGUAACCAGACCAGGAAUCUGGAGGACUGAUGGAGAAGCCUACAUCUGGAAGGCAAAUCCUGAGGACAACCAGGACUCUACCAUCAAGGAUUCCUUAUAAGUUUGCAUCAUCUGGACAUAGUGGACUAGGCAGACACACCUGCGCUGAACCCGUCCUGAUCCUGCUGGCCCGGUCUCCUCAGUUCAUCUGAGCUUCGUCCUCCAUAAGACCUGCUGAGCUCAGCAGUCUGAGGCUGAUGGAUCAAUGACCUCCAGUGGGAGUGAUCUUCUUGACCCCACAUGUAACCGCGUGCUUCAACACGCCUUUCCCUCACGUCUGUCACUAACCUCACUACUCUCUACUGCUUCCUCUUUUCUUCCUUAUCUGUGGUUCAAACCUUUACACUGAAGGCACGUCUUCCUGCCCUCAGAGGGUUCAGCGGUAGGAUUGAGAGUCAGGGUUUAGAGUCAGGGACAGAGCUGGUCAGCGAGGACUGCUUUUACACAAACCUCUUCACUUGCUUUCGGAAUGGUGGUGACAUUUUGAAAAGAUUAAUUUGGGAAAAUGUUUUCCUCUGCUUCCUUUACAAAAUUGUAUUCAACUUCUGUCAGUGUUUUUGUUUAGAUAUUAAAAUCCCUCAUUGACUUCUACAUGUUUGGUGCAGUUCAUUUAAUUGUCCUUUAACUUGGUUAAUGUUAAGCUAAACUCCU